UCCAAUUUUAAGCAACCAUUGGGACAUAAUAAUUCUACCCAUUAAGCCAUAUAGUGCUAGCAGAAUCACAACAUUAUGCCUUGCAAAAUCUACUGGGAAAUGCUGUUCUGCGCCAUAUACAGUUGUACUAAGAAGCAAGUAAAGCCACAUUAGAGCUCCUAGUCCAUUCUUCUUUACAACUUCUUAUUUCUCCAACCAUCUUAUGAACCUCCCAUGACAACAAAGUUGGAAAAUGGAAAAUAUUAUCAAAUCAAAACAAAAUAUAAGGUAACCUUCGUUUAACAAAUUUAGAAUGAGAUUUAAAAUUCAUUAAGAUUGUCUAAAAAGGUUUUUGGUGUGCACCUGAUACUUUUAAAGGUCAUAGACUUGCACAUUAAAGAAAUCAAUGGCGUGCAUGCUAAGGUGUGUUCAAUUUUCUCUAUAAUGCAGUAGAAUCUUACACGUUUAGGGAGUUUACUUACCAAGGUUUGAACAAUACAGAGUAG
rnacentral:misc_RNA from 1 species